ensembl:lincRNA Gm26794 predicted gene, 26794
GUUGCGCAGGUUGCCCACCCGGAACAUGAGAGUGAGUUUUCCGUCCCUCAUGGAGAUAACCGCAUGCUCGCUAAACAUGAGGGUCUCGGCGCGCUUUUUGGGCUGGGACAUCUUGAUGAACAUGCAGCCGAUGAGGAAAGCGUCCACGAUGGAGCCAAGGAUGGACUGGAAGAGGAAGAGGAUGAUGCCCUCGGGGCACUUAUCUGUGAUGUAGCGGUAGCCAUAGCCGAUGGUGGCCUCGGUCUCGAUGAAGAAGAGGAAGGCAGAGGGGAAGUUAUAGACAUUGGCCACACAGGGAGUGUAGUUGCCGACAUGGGCUUUGUUCAGGUCGCCCCGGGUAUAAGCGAUCACCCACCACAUGGACGCCAUGAAGAGCCAGGCCACGGUGUAGGUGAGGAUGAAGAUAAAGAGGUUCCAACGCCACUUGAGAUCCACCAGGGUAGUGAAGAGGUCCGAAAGGUAGCGACUGGUCUCGCUGCCCAGGUUACCAUGCUGCACAUUGCACCGGCCGUUCUUGUCCACGAACCGCUGCCGUUUCUUCUUGGGCACCAGCUGCUGCUGCGGGCCCUGUCCUGGCCCCUGAGGCUGUAAGCCCGAACCGCUCGACGAAGUGGUCACUACCUGGUAAUCGUCCCCAAAUUUCCUUCGGAGUGCAGACAUAAUACGGAGGGGCGAGCCAGAUUCAAACACGAAGCGGAGGCGCAGGAGCCAAGCGCUGCAAACCAGCACCAAUAAGGAGGUGGGGGCAGGGGAUGAAAGCAGGAGGGGAGGGGACGAAAGCAGGCGCCUGGGUUGGGGGUGGGGGUGGGGAGCACCCUGCAGGUAGCAGCAGUCUUUGCCCCGUCCGGAUGCCUCUCCUCCCCUGGGACAGAGGCUUUCUUUCCAGGAGCAGGGCUAAAACAGAAGUGUUCUCCCACACUCAAGGCAAGGGGAAUGCAAGGGGCAAGAACCCAAGUGAAAAUUUGCCUCUGAGCUCUUUGAGGCUUCUCUUUUUCCCCCCACCAUCACCAUCCCGGGCCACCUCUUACCUUUCCACGGCACCCCACCCUCGACUGUCCUGCAGCACCCAUGAACUGGUUGCUGAAAAUUAAUGAGUUUGACAAACAAGUCCCACCCCACCUGCUAACUCCCCAAGCUUCUAAACUGCUCCACCUGCCUGGUCCAGACCCUCCCCCCUCCCAGCUGCACCCUAAUCACCCGCCCCCCAGGAGUGUCCCUAGGUCCCUUGUCACUCCCGCCUCCUAUCUUUUAGCCAAAAUCCCGCCCAGAGGCAUGUCUCCUGGGCAGCGGUGCAACGCCCCCUACCCACGCUCUGCUGGUUCAGAAUCCCCCUCCCGGGACUCUAGAGACCUGUACUCCUGAGGUGCGCCGGCGGCCGAGUUUUCACGCGCUCCACCUGGGCCUUUGGGUGGACUCUCCGGAGGGGGUGAGCGGACGUCAAGCUACCCCUGCGCUCCAGGGAGCUCUGGAAGCCUGGGCACUCACCCAGUGACAGAGAACAGGCGGAGGCUCUGCAAGCAGCACAGGCAGUCUGGCCAAGCACCCUGCGCUUAGGGUGCCUGACCCCUUUCUACUUUUCUUGGUGUUCCAAGAUGAGAACCAAUGCAGGUGUGUCAGGCUCCGUGCCUCCCUGGGGACACUACACAGCCUCUGCCAGAAACCCCUGAUGCUCCAAGCAGAGACUGACUCGGACGCCUGACUCCCGGGUUCCUUAGCGUGCGAUGCCCUCUUUCCAGGCGACAGUGCGACUGCUGAACGGAGGUCAGACUUUCAGGUUAAACACCGGCUUUUGCUCCAGCUUUUCCCAUGCCUCUCAAUAGAAACAUCUGAGUCUUCCUUCCUUCGAUCUCCUAUUCCAUGUCCGCCCUUUGCUUGUCCCGGAUGGAUGGAGGAUGCAAGGCUCAAGCGGAGGCAACCAGAAUGAGGUGUGUGUGUGCUGGUGCGUGUGAUCAGCUGCAGAACCACACUAGCCCCGCCUGUCCUUGCCUUCCCCCGCUGCUCAACCAGCCUGAAUUGCACCUCCGCGCCUGGGUUGAGCCUGCAGUGUCUGGCAGCUUAGAGAAUGUGAGCCCCUCCAAUGAGAAGCAGCUUUAAAUCUGCUCCCAAAAGGCAGCCAACUCUUCCCCCCUCCCAUCCCGCAUCAAUCAGAAAGCCCCCAGAAAGCAACAAAUGCUGCUUUCUGCGGGGAGUACAAUAUGUCUCUAUUUCUAGGACUUUCUUUUAAGCGAAUAGAAUACUAGGAUUUGGGAAUGCAUCAUCAACAGAGAUUCGACUUUCAGAUAGGCAUAUUCAGAACCCAAAAUUACCAAACCAGAGGGACCUGACAAUCAAGAAAGGCUACACUGAACGGAAACACCAAACCCUUUCUGAAAAUGAUUCUAUGAGGGGGGCUUAGAAUAACUACAGUUAGUGUGUGGCAAUAAUUGAGGGAAAAGUGCCACAUUUUAAUGGCCCCAGCCUGGCAGUUAACUUAAUGGAGGGGGCAAAGUGCAAAAACAGCUGAUAUAGAGCCCUUGAGUAAAUGCCAGCUUAUUUACCACAUUUCAUGCUCGUUUUAAAAUGUCAUGGAGUCUUAUGCCAUGUUCCAUACAGUCCAGAUAUGCAAAGUUGGUAGUAAGUCAUCAACUCUUGCUAUAAAAACAAAGGUUGACUAUAAGAACUGGAAACAAAAAAAGCACACAAUCACUAGACCAUUUCUCCCUGGUAGACACUCACUGCUCCUCUGCCCUAAGACAAACAUUCAUGCACUCAAAAGCAGAGGACUUGCAAAACGUUUAGCUCCAAUUACAGCUUCUCCUAUGGGGUCUCUGCAAAGAGGACAGCAAUGUAUUCUCUGGAGGUUAGACAAAACAGGGACUCUCUGGCCCUGGAAUCCUAAGGCCCUUUUGAAUACAGCUAUAUCAUUUACAAGCUGGGUGACCUUGAGCAAGAGAAAAACCGUGGAGCCUGAAUUUCCCCCUCCAAAAAAAUAAAUAAAUGAAAAUGAGAGUUUUAUAUUUUCCCGGUGAUGAUAGAGAAACAAAGGAAUAAAAGAAAAGUAAUGCUAUGUUUAUUAUUUAUUUUACUAUUUAAUCAUUUCUCCUCCAAAGGAUAUACUGGGCUGCCAAGUUUUAGCAGUGCGAAGAGGAGACCAUGAGUGAGUUAUUUAAGUCGUUGCCAUGAUGUGACCUACCACAACUCCUUAUCUUAUUUCUGUUUCUCCUCCACUCUGUCCUUGGCAGGCUGCUGUUUCGAUUGCUAAAACACUUGCAGACCUAAGCUGAUCCCUGGUCUUGUCCUUCCCAUGGGUCUUAUUGCCUCCCUGUUUAAGUGUGUUCUCCAUAGAAAAGCCUUCCUUAGUAUCUCAGACCCUCUUUGUCUCAUCAGUCAGGUUCCUUGCUCAUGAGCAAGUUUUCUUGAUGCUGUUUUCUUUCUGUCAAUGUUCUUCUCCCUCUGUUGGCAAUCUGAUAAAACAGGCUCUACAAGGGUGAAAGUCCUGUCCUUUUUGCCUUUCUUUGUCUCUCCUUCCUAGAAUUGUACUGGUCUCAUGCUUGGCAAACCAUAUUUCUUGGAUUAUUACAUAUGUCAGUCUAAACCGUUAGCAGCUCCCCAACAAUUCACUAAAUCUAUACUCAGAAUGUAACCUGCACUAACUGGCAUCCCUUACUUGAAAGAAUACGAAAGAACAUUGAUGCUUAAAAGAGAAUAUUUCUUGUUACAUUAAGAAUUUAUGUUCUAUCAGUCUUUUGGAUCUUUACCCAAUAUGUUUGAAAUAAUACCUGUACUUUAUUUAAAAGGACAUGACUAACCUUUCUUUAGGACCCUAGUCAGCCAAAUAUGGUGGAGUAUGAUUUUUAAUCCCAUCAUCCAGUAGACAGAGGCAAUCAGAUCUCUGUGAGUUUGAGGCAAGCUCCAGGCCAUCCAUGUAUAAAUAGUGAGGCUCUUAUAGAAUCAUGAUGGUUUAAUAACAAAAAACAAAGUAUUUUCAUAUCUUCCUACCACCAUUCCUUGGUGAGUACUAAACUCAAAUUGAUUUAAUUGCAUUGUUUCAGAAUGAUUGACUUUAAGUUUUUAUCUGAGUUAAUGAAUCUUUUGACAAUUGUUUUAUGAAUUUUUGCCUGGGAGUAGAGCAGAGUUUUCAACCAUUUCUGAAAUAGCAUGAAGCUUUUUUACUUCUGCCAUUUGUACUGCAUGUAGUACAGGCAAAGUGUCACUCUAGUAGUAACAAUUAUUAAGUCAAAAUAUCGUUCAACUGAAAAAUCUUGAAUUUGCUUCACAUGCUGUGAUGUCAAAUAGUCAUCCAUGAUAUACUUCUUUUCCUAUAAAUAAACUC